AGUCAAGGGGAGUCCGGCUAUCAAUAAGCUCGUUUUGCGACCUAGCCAGUCGACGAUGAAAGCUGCCAGAAUGCAUCCGGGUAUGGUACCCAAAAGAUAAAAUGAGGCGAUCCAAGAGGCGUCGUCUGAUGUUAUCGAGAUAGCGAUGAAACGCACUAACGCUACCACAGGAAAAGCGACGAAUCUCCACGAGCCUAACGACACCCGGAUUUUAAUGCAUUGCAGAUAGAGUGACAGUGUAUUUAUGGCGCCGUGGAUUUUAUAUGUUACUUUAUCAGUGCUUUCCUUAUCAGUGAUUCGUGUCGAAUCUGUUGUCCCCACUCACAUUAUAUGAGGAUGUGUUUGCUACUACUCUUUGUUCUCUGAACGAGGAAGGACGAAUAGAUUGAAUAUAGAAUUAUUUUUACGCAAGUGUAUUUUCUUCUACGCACCACCUGCGAACACUAUAUGUUUGACUGUUUGAGAAGACAACAGAUCUUAUGCGAACUUAAUUAACAUAAGGGUAUAAUAAAAGUAUUAUAUAAGUCUGAAUUAUAUAACAUUACAUUUUGAAGAACAGUAUGACGUGGUAUCUGCCUUAUCAUAGUAUAUAAUAAAGUGCGUUCAUA